AGGGAAACCGAGUCUUAACCGGGCGUUAAGUUGCAGGGUAUAGACCCGAAACCCGGUGAUCUAGCCAUGGGCAGGUUGAAGGUUGGGUAACACUAACUGGAGGACCGAACCGACUAAUGUUGAAAAAUUAGCGGAUGACCUGUGGCUGGGGGUGAAAGGCCAAUCAAACCGGGAGAUAGCUGGUUCUCCCCGAAAGCUAUUUAGGUAGCGCCUCGUGAAUUCAUCUCCGGGGGUAGAGCACUGUUUCGGCUAGGGGGCCAUCCCGGCUUACCAACCCGAUGCAAACUGCGAAUACCGGAGAAUGUUAUCACGGGAGACACACGGCGGGUGCUAACGUCCGUCGUGAAGAGGGAAACAACCCAGACCGCCAGCUAAGGUCCCAAAGUCAUGGUUAAGUGGGAAACGAUGUGGGAAGGCCCAGACAGCCAGGAUGUUGGCUUAGAAGCAGCCAUCAUUUAAAGAAAGCGUAAUAGCUCACUGGUCGAGUCGGCCUGCGCGGAAGAUGUAACGGGGCUAAACCAUGCACCGAAGCUGCGGCAGCGACACUGUGUGUUGUUGGGUAGGGGAGCGUU
rnacentral:rRNA from 1 species